ensembl:lncRNA
AUUUUGUGUUUUAUAUAUAUAUAUACAUACAGCAAUAAAAUCUCAAAAUAAAAGUCAUGAGAAAAGUUUCCAGUACAAUUUAGGUCCUAAAAUCCUUCGUAAAUAAAAGUGCCUGCCGUUAAAGGAUCACACAGAUAGAAUAAAGCAGCAUAAUGCUAAAGGGUCCUGACAUUCUUACCAUGAGCCUUCAGUUAUUUGACCACUUAGAUGCUAAUGCUAACAUAUAAUCCAUUUUCUAAGAUGCAUACGAGUUUUCCAUUAUAGCACCAACAAAGCUAGGCCUCUCAGUAAGUCUUUUCUUGUAGCAGUAAGUAUUCAGUUUUCUCUCUUGUGGUCAAUAGAAGCACAAUGGCAAUCAGGGGGCAAAGUGGAUUUCAGCAGGUAUCAGUCAUUCUCUUUCUAGCAAUUAGCCUAGCGCUAUUACUACGCACUGAUAUCUGCUGAGACAGGCACUAAAACUCCGGCUGACACAGACCAGCUGAUUAGCCAAGCUUAAUUAGCCACGAUGCCUUUUAAAUGGGGAAAUCUGACUCUGCCUUUAAACCUCAGUUGGGACCAGAGACUGCGGAGCUACAAAGACCAUUUCAGUACCUUAAUGAUGCCAAAAUGGACCGCUUCAGACCACAGAGAGAAAUCAAGUGCGGCCGCGCAUCGUGGAUAAUAACCAAUUGGAAAAGAUCUUUGCGUCGUGGCCAGUUGUUAAUUACUGGAUGCCGGUCUCGAGGGAUCGCCCCGCUUCUGUCAUACUGGAAAACAUCCUCAGGACUGUGGGCCAGUGAAGCUCAAAGAGCCAGCAAACACAGCCUGGAGUGGAUCCACACAACACUGGCCGCUUCUAACAGACCUGCUCUAACCCCAGGAUCUAAUUACUUACUCGCAUCUCUCCUAUCAUCUCCCGCUUCCUCCAGCAGGAUCCCCAUGGGUCUCUUGAGCUCAGACCCACACGUAACACACUGACAUGGGGGAAGAGCUCAACCUCCGGCCCGACAACUGCUAGAAUCCCUAUAAAAGCAUCAUAUAGAUCACACAAACUCCUACAGACUGAUAUUUUGUCUUGAUAAUGUUAAAUAAAAUCUGAGAUGUAAACUAAAUCAGUUAAUAAACGACUUUAGGCUAUGUUUACUCCAAACACAUUCUCCAAAAAAGUUUGUUUGCUACAGUUUGAAUAAAAAGUACACGACAUGCAAGCUAAAAAACAAACAGAAUUGCCUGAAGAUGUGUACGAUCUUAUAUAUACAGUGUAUAGACCUUUUCAAAUUAAUGUUAUUCAGUAAGAUUAGUAUAAUUAUGAGCAUCUUUAAUCAGGAUCAAUUUCAUGUUUAUCUAAUGAAUAAAUUAGGAUAAUUUUAAGUUUUAUAAAUUAAAUAAUUUUGUUUUAUUAACAUUAUACUUAAAUUAUAUAUAUAUAUAUAUAUAUAUAUAUAUAUAU